rnacentral:rRNA from 1 species
UACGUAGGGGGCAAGCGUUGUCCGGAAUCAUUGGGCGUAAAGAGCGUGUAGGCGGACUGGAAGGUCUGGUGUGAAAGCCCGGGGCUCAACCCCGGAGGGUCACUGGAAACCAACAGUCUUGAAUCUGGAAGAGGAGAGUGGAAUUCCUGGUGUAGCGGUGGAAUGCGCAGAUAUCAGGAGGAACACCGAUGGCGAAGGCAGCUCUCUGGUACAUGAUUGACGAUGAGACGCGAAAGCGUGGGGAGCGAACAGG